rfam:Corchorus olitorius cultivar O-4 contig14718, whole genome shotgun sequence.
CAUGGGUUUAUGUUAUAUUCCAUCUCUUGCACACUGGAUGGAGUUUUGCUGACUUCUGCAGGCUGGUGUGCAGGGGGUGGAAUACAUCAUUCAAAUCAUG